ensembl:lncRNA LINC02409 long intergenic non-protein coding RNA 2409
AGAGCCACUGAGUUUGAGACUGUAAGAGCAGGACGGGGCUCUGAAGACCCCCCUCGCCCAACCCCCUCAUUUUACAGAAGAGGCAACUGAGGCCCAGAGAGGGAGAUCCCAGAGUGACAAUGCCAAUUAGGGCUGGGACUGGGACCCAGGUCUCCAGCCACCACAGUGCCCUGCCUCUGCCAGAAUCAAAACCCACCCGCCAGAGGACAUGCACUUGAGAACACACCCUUUAGCACUUUCUGCUGUCAGUUACAUGGCUCAUUCUCCAUUGACAGACAGAAUAGAGGAAUUCACUGGAAAGGAGAACCACUUCACAGCAACGUUUUACAAGAAGCCUGAUGGUGGGAUGGAGCCCGUCAUUCAUAUUAAUGAGACAUGCAUGGAAGUGGCAAUGAGCAUGUGGAGUGUGGCUAAAAGAAAUGUGGUUCUUCACUUGGAGCUGAUGUGAAACACAGGCAAUCUGUUGGCCUACUGAGAGGAACUUCUUUUAAAAGCCAAGAACAAGAAUACCACCCAAAGACAUCUGUUCCUCUCAUCCUUUAGUGAAGUGCAGAUGGAGAUUCCUACAUGGUUUUG